UGGCUCAGAACGAACGCUGGCGGCAGGCUUAACACAUGCAAGUCGAACGGGUGUAGCAAUACAUCAGUGGCAGACGGGUGAGUAACACGUGGGAACCUUCCUCGUUGUACGGAACAACUCAGGGAAACUUGAGCUAAUACCGUAUACGUCCGAGAGGAGAAAGAUUUAUCGCAAUGAGACGGGCCCGCGUCGGAUUAGCUAGUUGGUGAGGUAAUGGCUCACCAAGGGAACGAUCAGUAGCUGGUCUGAGAGGAUGAUCAGCCACAUUUUUACUGAGACACGGGACAAACUCCUACGGGAUGCGCGCAGUGGG
rnacentral:rRNA from 1 species